rnacentral:pre_miRNA from 1 species
UUAGUACUCCCUCCGUCCGGAAAUACUUGUCAUCAAAAUGGAUAAACGGAGAUGUAUCUAGACGUAUUUUAGUUCUAGAUACAUCCACUUUUAUCCAUUUUGAUGACAAGUAUUUUCGGAUGGAGGGAGUAUUGA